GUCAUCAGAAUGCCCAUCAUGUACCGCAUCGGCUGUCUGAGAGACGGUGGGUCCUGGAAGGGCAACGGAGGUCCUGGAAGGGCAAUGGAGGUCCUGGAAGGGCAACGGAGGUCCUGGAAGGGCAAUGGAGGUCCUGGAAGGGCAACGGAGGUCCUGGAAGGGCAACGGAGGUCCUUGAAGGGCAGUGGAGGUCCUGGAAGGGCAACGGAGGUCCUGGAAGGGCAGUGGAGGUCCUGGAAGGGCAACGGAGGUCCUGGAAGGGCCGUGGAGGUCCUGGAAGGGCAACGGAGGUCCUGGAAGGGCAGUGGAGGUCCUGGAAGGGCAAUGGAGGUCCUGGAAGGGCAACGGAGGUCCUGGAAGGGCAGUGGAGGUCCUGGAAGGGCAACGGAGGUCCUUGAAGGGCAGUGGAGGUCCUUGAAGGGCAAUGGAGGUCCUGGAAGGGCAGUGGAGGUCCUUGAAGGGCAGUGGAGGUCCUUGAAGGGCAGUGGAGGUCCUGGAAGGGCAACGGAGGUCCUGGAAGGGCAGUGGAGGUCCUUGAAGGGCAACGGAGGUCCUGGAAGGGCAACGGAGGUCCUUGAAGGGCAGUGGAGGUCCUUGAAGGGCAAUGGAGGUCCUGGAAGGGCAAUGGAGGUCCUGGAAGGGCAACGGAGGUCCUUGAAGGGCAAUGGAGGUCCUGGAAGGGCAGUGGAGGUCCUGGAAGUGCAACGGAGGUCCUGGAAGGGCAGUGGAGGUCCUGGAAGGGCAACGGAGGUCCUGGAAGGGCAAUGGAGGUCCUGGAAGGGCAGUGGAGGUCCUUGAAGGGCAAUGGAGGUCCUGGAGGUCCUUGAAGGGCAACGGAGGUCCUGGAAGGGCAGUGGAGGUCCUGGAAGGGCAACGGAGGUCCUGGAAGGGCAAUGGAGGUCCUGGAAGGGCAGUGGAGGUCCUGGAAGGGCAGUGGAGGUCCUGGAAGGGCAACGGAGGUCCUGGAAGGGCAGUGGAGGUCCUUGAAGGGCAGUGGAGGUCCUGGAAGGGCAAUGGAGGUCCUGGAAGGGCAAUGGAGGUCCUGGAAGGGCAGUGGAGGUCCUGGAAGGGCAACAGAGGUCCUGGAAGGGCAGUGGAGGUCCUGGAAGGGCAAACGGAGGUCCUGGAAGGGCAGUGGAGGUCCUGGAAGGGCAAUGGAGGUCCUGGAAGGGCAGUGGAGGUCCUUGAAGGGCAAUGGAGGUCCUGGAAGGGCAAUGGAGGUCCUGGAAGGGCAGUGGAGGUCCUGGAAGGGCAGUGGAGGUCCUGGAAGGGCAAUGGAGGUCCUGGAAGGGCAACGGAGGUCCUGGAAGGGCAGUGGAGGUCCUGGAAGGGCAACGGAGGUCCUUGAAGGGCAGUGGAGGUCCUGGAAGGGCAGUGGAGGUCCUGGAAGGGCAGUGGAGGUCCUGGAAGGGCAACGGAGGUCCUGGAAGGGCAGUGGAGGUCCUGGAAGGGCAACGGAGGUC
ensembl:lncRNA